rnacentral:lncRNA from 1 species
CAUCCUCUCAAUGAUUUUUAGCAUUGCUGCCUUUCCAAAAAGAGGACUUCAGCCUUGUUACUGCAUUUGUGCAAGCAGGCUGUGAAGGGAGGGGAAGUGGGAAGUCCUGCUGACUGAUCUCACACCUGGUGUGUUUGUGUAGCGUCACAGCCGCUCUAGGAAGGACUUGUAUCCUGCCAGUUACGGCCUGGCAGUGUAGCUCCAUGAGACGGUGCGGGAGAUAUGCUCAGCUUCUGCAGAUUUGAGCAAUGCCAGCUUAAACUGAAAAUGAGUAAAGGGAGUAAGAAGAAUAGCCCGUUCUUCUAGUGAAAAUAUUAACAGUACAUCUGGAAGAAGAAAGGCAUCUUAGUCCUCAUAAGGCAAGUGAACAUUUGGAAAGGUAAGGUACAAAACCUGGGAUGGGAAAAUGCUGAAUAUUGACAAUCUAUCUUAAAGACCAGAGUAGAUGUUGCCAUAACUAUAAAAUUUC